rnacentral:rRNA from 1 species
GAAAGCCUGAUCCAGCCAUGCCGCGUGAGUGAUGAAGGUCUUCGGAUCGUAAAGCUCUGUGGGAAGGGACGAAAAAGCCUAACCUAAUACGUUAGGUCUUGACGGUACCUUCUUAGCAAGCACCGGCUAACUCCGUGCCAGCAGCCGCGGUAAUACGGAGGGUGCAAACGUCGCUCGGAAUUAUUGGGCGUAAAGCGCACGUAGGCGGUCCGCUAAGUCGGAUGUGAAAGCCCUCGGCUUAACCGAGGAAGUGCAUCCGAAACUGACGGGCUAGAGUACGGAAGAGGGUUUCGGAAUUCCCGGUGUAGAGGUGAAAUUCGUAGAUAUCGGGAGGAACACCAGUGGCGAAGGCGGAAACCUGGGCCGAUACUGACGCUGAGGUGCGAAAGCGUGGGGAGCGAAACAGGAUUAGAUACCCUGGUAGUCCACGCCGUAAACGAUGAGCGCUAGGUGUUGGGGUA